rnacentral:lncRNA from 1 species
CAAGACUAUCAGAAUGUGUACCUUUACCAGAGGAGGGUGAUUCACUAGGAAAAUAAUGUCUAAAGUUUGCAUUUUGCCAGCCAGUGCUUCUCUGGGAAUUAGCUUGUAAACAGAGAUCCAGAUGGCUAAAGAGUUUCUGAUUAAUAAAUGGAGGCUAUGGUUUCGGGUUUUGGACGUAAAAGGCACGGGGCAAUAUUCUAGAGAAGACGAAGCACAAGACGAGGCAAGAUAUGCCCAGUCUCAGUCACUUGGAUCCAGAGCAUAAAGAGGAGGUAGUCGAAGCCUUGCGAGGGUUAAUGGAUGAAUAUUACUUCCGAGGCAAACAAGGUCCGAUAUAUGAACAAGAAUUUGUCGACAUGAACAACGACGAUUUCAAAGCUGACAAGGGAAAAUUUGAAGAACGUAUGAAGAAGUGUUUCGAAACAGGAUAUAAGAUCUUUGAAACGAAUGGUGACGGAAUGAUAACCAAGGAUGCGUUCCAGAAGGCAUACUUUGCAUAUGGACACAAGAAUCUCGAGCUUGUCAACAAAUUAUUCCAGUCCUAUAAUCCCGUGGACGACAAGGUUCCAGUCAAAACCAUUGCUGAUUCGUGGGUCCUUUUUACAACAAAUGAGGAUAGCUCUGUAAGGGAUGUAGUCAGAGAGGCGUUGGAGGCCGGUCUUUAAGUUUCUGCAGUUUUAUGAGAAAUGGUCUGCAUGUUUCAACAACUGCGACUUUUUAUGCCAUUUCUUCUCAUGAUAAAGUACGAAAGUAUAUUGAUGAUGUAAGUUGUCAUCUAAUAUAAUGAAUUACAUGUUGGCAGAAAAUUUUGGAAAUGUCAAACAUUGCAUUAGACUAUGACAGUUUGUAGUGUUCAAGCUUAUUAUCUUUAUAGCAUUUAUUAUCAAAAGUUGUUUUUUUAAAAAAAAUACUGAAGUUCGUUUUUCAUUUCGUAUUGGUCAUAAUUGUUUGUCUUGUUGUUCUCUUUUCUAUGGUUUCAAAUAAUCUGGUUUGAACAAGUCGUAGAAAUUUUUCAAAGUACAUACGCAGAAGCUGGCAGAAAAUUUACUUACAACUUAAUACAGAUAUCACUUACUACUUGACUUUAUAUAUUGUAUACAAAUAAAUUGGUUUAGUAACAUGAA